UUAGUUUGCAUUGCUGAAUUAAUAUUAUAAUAAACAAGUAGUUAUAGUUCGUAUAUUUGUUUUUUUUAGUGUUUUUUGAGCUCUUUUAACUUAAACGGUUCAUAAAUAAUAAAAUGUCAUUUCCAUUUGGAAAAAGCACUACUACCACCUCUAAUCCACAACCUGUAUUUGGAUUUGGACAACCACAACAACAACAGCAAAGUGGAUUUUCCUUUGGACAAGGAAAUCAAACUCAGCAGCCACAAACACAGGGAUUUUCUUUUGGUUCUUCAUCACUUGGAACACCAGCAAUGUCAUCUGGUAAUUAUUUUGAAAGAAAUAAGUAGUGUAAAAAUUUUCACUAAUCUCAAAUAUAGC
rnacentral:lncRNA from 1 species